AUUGAACGCUGGCGGCAGGCCUAACACAUGCACGUCGCGCGGAGAGGCGGGCGGGUGAGUAAUGCCUAGGAAUCUGCCUGGUACUGGAGGAUAACGUCCGGUACCGGGCGCUAAUAUCGCAUACUAUCAGCUGAGCCUAGGUCGGAUUAGCUAGCUGGUGGGGUAAAGGCCUACAAAGGCGACGAUCCGUAACUGGUCUGAGAGGAUGAUCAAUAAAAGUGAAAGUGAGACACGGUGCAAACGGGUAGGAGAGGCAGCAGAGGGGAAUUAGGGAAAAUGGGCGAAAGCCUGAAACAGGCAACGCGCGUGUGUGAAAGAGGUAGGCGGAUGGGAAAGCACUUUAAGUUGUGCGGCGUUACCCACAGAAUAAGCACCGGAUAACUUCGUGGCAGCAGCCGCGGUAAUAC
rnacentral:rRNA from 1 species